GAAUAUUGGUCAAUGGACGCAAGUCUGAACCAGCCAUGCCGCGUGAAGGAUGACUGCCCUCUGGGUUGUAAACUUCUUUUAUAGGGGGAGAAAAAAGGGUUUUAUAACCCGUCUGACGGUACCCUAUGAAUAAGCACCGGCUAACUCCGUGCCAGCAGCCGCGGUAAUACGGAGGGUGCAAGCGUUAUCCGGAUUCACUGGGUUUAAAGGGAGCGCAGGCGGAUUGGUAAGUCAGUGGUGAAAGCCUUAAGCUUAACUUGGGAACUGCCAUUGAUACUAUCAGUCUUGAAUAUUGUUGAGGUUUGCGGAAUGGGUCAUGUAGCGGUGAAAUGCAUAGAUAUGACCCGGAACACCUAUUGCGAAGGCAGCAGGCUAAACAAAGAUUGACGCUGAGGCUCGAAAGCGUGGGGAUCAAACAGG
rnacentral:rRNA from 1 species